CGGACGGGUGAGUAAUGUCUGGGAAACUGCCUGAUGGAGGGGGAUAACUACUGGAAACGGUAGCUAAUACCGCAUAACGUCGCAAGACCAAAGAGGGGGACCUUCGGGCCUCUUGCCAUCAGAUGUGCCCAGAUGGGAUUAGCUAGUAGGUGGGGUAACGGCUCACCUAGGUGACGAUCCCUAGCUGGUCUGAGAGGAUGACCAGCCACACUGGAACUGAGACACGGUCCAGACUCCUACGGGAGGCCAGCAUG
rnacentral:rRNA from 1 species